AAAAAAAAAUAACAGAAAUAUAUUCAUAGUGAAAAUAAUGUUUAAUUAAUAAUUAAUAAUAAUAAUAAUAUUUUUGCAGUUGCAUACUCAGCUCAGGCAAAGUCUUUAUUCUAGGGAAUUCAUUUUAAACUGCUGUUUUGUUUCAGUUCCACCUGACAACAACAACAACAACUUUUCUUUAUCUCUGUGUCUUUAUCUCUCCAUGCACCAUCGUUAAAGGCGUGACUGACCUUUUCUCUGGCAGCCUGUCUAACCACCCUGGGGUAUAUGAUGGCUGGAGGAUCGGCUUUAAUUGACGUGAUAGCACCCCUGAGGUCAGGCAAGAGUCGAGUUCUGUUGACCGUCUGUUUCAAGAAAUGCUGCAGCCUGACUACGGUCCAGUAUGACUGCAGUGUGUCCUUGGCUAUGCUGGGAACCUCUGAGAUGGUAUUGCAUGCAGUAGAUCUUGGAAAAUGCCCUCAUCAUUAAAAUUUAGAUUGAUAAAAAUAUAUACCUGAUUUUUUUUUUAACAAUGUACAAAUGCUUUGUUGGUUUGCAUGUUUUGGAUAGAUCCAGGUCAUGUCACAGCUGUGAUGAAACCUCAGAUACAAUUCUUCACCAUGGAUUGCAGGAUGAUCACUUCUAUUCUAG
rnacentral:lncRNA from 1 species